CUGGGGUUCCGGUGCUGUGACCCCCCUCGCGGGGCGUCCGCAUGGCUGGGCGCUCAGAUCCCAGUGCGCCUCUCGCCUUGGCGGCUGCGGGGUUGCCGCGAAAGCCUGGGGAUGCCCCUGUCCGAGCCGGAGCCGCGAACCCUGGUCACUGAGCCCCGCGCCGGCUCCCAGCUCGCGUGCGCUCUGGCGGGCCCCGCUGGCGCUCCGAGAAACGCGGGCCAAGCGAAUGCGGGGGCACGCGUGGACGCGGGGACCCAAGUGCGAGCACGUAUGGUGUUCUCAGGCGGUCAGCAUUUGUGCGCAGAGAUGCCCGGGCACGGUCGCUUCCUGUACGCUCUCCAUCAAACCAUCCUGGGGUCCUGCGGGGGGCAACGAAGACCCGGGGCAGCGCCUUGGGGCUGGCAAGCGGCCGGCCACAUGCUGCACCCCCUGGACAGAGAGGCCCUCCGUACCCCAACCCUAGGAGGAAGACUUGAAGCUAUUAGAGGGAGUCCCGUGCGAGCGUGAUGCACCCUUGCGGCCUCUCCCUGAGGCUGGUGGAGCCCGGGGCUCCCCAUCUGCUUGGUCGUGACCAUCCUUGGGCAGUGGGCCAGCACCACAGGAAAAAUACCCGUCAGUCCACCACUGAUGAGGAGCCGGUUUGGAGGCCCAGACCUUCCACUCGAGGGCACGACCACGAUCCUGGGGCUACAGAUGAAGGAAAGCAUUUGGGGGUUCCCACGGCCAGACUGCCCCCCACCAGAGACAGAGAAGCUGCAGAAGCAAACCUGGGACAAAGCCUAAAGUCUGAUGUGACCUUUAUUGUGACGGAGACCAUUUCCCAGGAGGAGCAAAUGUGUGUGGGGCCUGGCAAGUCCAGGCCACCCUCAACCAAGUUUACCCCUCCCCUGUUCUCAGCCAAAACAGAAGCCAAAGGCCCCAACCUCAGACUCCAGUCCAGGGAGGGCUGAGGGUGGGGAUCAGCGUCUGCCAAGGCAACUUGUUGGAAGCAAGGCUGGUGCCGGGUGAAGAGCAGAGGAGGGGCCCAGGGCAGCCCAGGAACAGUGGGGCACUGGCCCAGGCUGGAGCAUGUGGUCCUCAAAGUUCCUAUGGCACCCUGGCUGGGUAGCAUGGAGCAGUCCAGGGGCACCAGCAGAGAGCUCCCUGAGGAAGGGUGAAGAUGGGGUGGGAGGGCUGGCCCUGAGGGCAGGGUGAACAUCAGUAGGGGCUUGGCUGUGCCCCAGGGAGGUCCCCUGAUGAGUGUGGGUGCCAGCAGGCAGCUGCUGAAGGGGGCAGCAAUGGAGGCAGAGGCAUGAGGAGCCAGCCCACUGUUACUUGUGAGGAUUAGGGGGGCUCCAGGGAGAGGAGUCUGCAGGCAGCCUUGCUCUGCACCAGUCCAGGCCAACUUCCAGGACAGUGGUUCCAGCCGCGGUUAACGGGGACAAGGUGGGCCGCACAGGUGUCAGGAGAGCACCCUCUAGGACGGAUGGGAGUGGGCAGGGCUGCUGGUCCAGCCAGGAGCCCAGGGCCGCCUCAUCUGCAAUGCUCCUUCCUGAACUCUGCAACCGAAGGACAGGUGGUGUCUGCCCUCCACCCCUCGUCCCGGGCAAAAGAGGGCAGACAUCCUGCGGCACUGCCUGGGGGGCUCCUGCCCGAGGGACCCCUGCCCAUGAGGACCCUGCCCAAGGCAGGGUGCUGACCAGCGUCUUCAGGGUUCUGAGUGUGGGUGGAGUGGGGUGUGGGUCCAAGCAGCCCAGCCAGUCACCUUUGUCCAAGUCAAUGUUCUUGGCAGGCAGGGGGUUGUGGGCCAGCCCAGCCCUCUCCUUCAGGAUGUUGUUCUUGUGAUCUGGCGUGGGGGGAGAGCAGGGUGAGGGCGUCCCCAGAGAGGUACCUGCAGCCCAGGCCUGGGGACCACAGUCUGUGCCUUGGUGCCCCUCACCUAGUUGGAUGCCCUCGUUCCUGCAAAGAGCCUGGUCCCCUGUGGCCACGGCAAACUCUGCCAUGUUCAUGUCCUUCCUGGGUAGACGGACAGGGAAGGCAGGUUAGAGCAGGGGCGGGAGAGGGGCUUGGUCCCAGGGGAGCCGGGAGGAGGCACUCACCCCUUUGCUUUCCCAGACUUCUUGUCUGAAUAUUCAUAGCCUGGGGAGGGGACACUUGUGUUGGGGGUCAGUCUCCCCAUCCACAGCGCCCCCAGCCCCGAUGCCCUCCCACCCCCGGCAGCGAGGCUCACUGGGCGAUAGGCUCAGGCCCAGCGCCCCCAGCCCCGUCUCACCUCCGCGGCGGCGCUGCCGCGUGGCCAGGACCACCGUGAUAAGCAGCAGGAUGAAGAGCAGCAGCGUGGCCAACACGUAGCCCAGCUGCUGGAAGAAGUGCGCCCGGCCCUCCGGGACGAUGACGUUUAUGAUGCUGCGGCCGCGCGCCAGCGUGGGGUCUGCAGGGGCCGGCGGAGGCGUCAGGGAGCGCGCCCCGCCCGCCGCGCCCGCGCCCCAGCCCGGCCAGCCCCGCGGCGCCGCGAGGGUACCGGCAGAACCGGGACGCGGCGAUUGGGGUCCCCCCCCCGGGCGAUCACCACAGCCUUUACGAAGGACGGGAGUGGACGGGGAGGGGCCGGGGCUGCUCCCGCACCUGGUCCAGGGGCUCCGCUGUGGCUGGAGCCGUUGCCUGGCGAGUCCCGCGGGGGCGGCUGGGCGGCGGGCUCGGUGACCCGCAGGUGGAAGAUGCGGCGCUCGUGCAGGCCGCAGUAGUGGUGGUGCAGGUGGCAGGAGUAGGUGCCCUCGUCCGCCGGCUCCAGCGGGUCGAUGCGCAGCGAGAAGUCGCCGCGCGCGAAGGCGUCCGCCCCCACCGCCAUGCGGUCGCGCAGGAAGGGCGGCCCGUAGGCCCGGCGCUCGCCGGACGCGUACAGGUCUAGCAGGCGGUCGGCGCGGUCGUGCGGCACCCCGGGCGGCUGCCGGUCCCAGUGCACCACCUGCUGCGCCUCCUCCACGUGCCGAUCGGUCCACACGGGCGCGCGGUUCACGCACGUCAGCAGCGCAGGCGCCCCGCGCUCCGCCACCAGCACCUCCUUCGCGCCGUCCCAGUGCGCGCCGGCGGCCAGUCCUAGGGGGGGCAGGAGCGUCAGCGCCGGCCGCCGGCAGGGAGCCACGGGGGGGCGCCGGGGGGCGGGGACGGCACACUCACGGUCGUCGGUGACCUCCAGGCGGAUGGCCAGGCUCUCGUAGAGGUGGCAGUAGUGGUGGUGCAGGUUACAGGUGUACAGCCCCUCGUCCGGCUGCUCCACCGCUGCGCCCCGAGAGCGAGCCCAGCCGUGAGCUGGGCGGCCCUUCCCGCGCCCCGCCCCACCCCGAGCCCACCGGCCCCGCUGCGGUGCCCGUGCCCCUUACCGCGGAUGAGCAGCGAGAAGUUGCCGUCCUGGAAGGCGGAGGGCGGCAGCAGGAGGCGGCCUCGGUCGCGCUGCUCGUACACGCGCUGUUCGCCCGCGGAGUACAUGUCCACGAGUCGGCGCGCUGGGCCGCCGGCCGGGCCGCCGCUGAGGUCCCAGUGGACCACGCGCUGGCGGUCGUGCAGCCGGUCUUGGGUCCACACCAUGCGCUGGCUCUGGCAGCGCAGUACGGCCCGGGCACCGGACGCCCAGCUUACGACCGACUCAGACACCACGGAGCUGCCGGCCGUGGGGAGGCCCGACGGCCCUAGUGGGGAGGGAGAAUCACCGAGGGAGGGGCUCGCGGGGACAGGCACAGGGCGGGGCGGGCAAGAGGGGACCGGCGGGUCCCGGGGACGGUGGUCACUAACCUGCCAGAAGGACAGCAGAGCCUGGAAGGAGAGGAGGGGUGAGUCACACAGGGCUGGAGCCACGUGAGCCUGGGCAUGGGUCCCCUCUCCAGUCCUCGCUGAGGUGUGUUCGAACGACACCCGUUUAACAGGUGGGGUAACGCCAGCAGAGCCAGGAGGACCCAGGUGGGGUCUCCAUUGGCCCCAGGGUGUGGGCACCUGUCCCACCCCCACGGAGUCCUCACAGCCACCUCCCUGGGCGGCAGGGACACCGCCUGCCCUGUGGUGGGGCAGGCCGGUCACCAAAGGCUGCCCUCAGGGAUGGGGACCACCAUCACUGCAGCAAGGCCACAAGAGCCUACCGAGCAAGGCUGAAUUGAGGGGCUCCUGCACCUGCCAGGAGAUGCACCACCCACAUCCUCAGGGGACCUCAGACCCGCUCCCUGUGCUCAGGGCCAGAGCCCCCCUGAAGGGCAGAGAAGCCUGGACGUGGGGAGUGACCCCACCAUCGGCCACCCCACAAGCCGAGUUCCUGCUCCAGGGAUGUGGCUGAGCGCCCACAGCUGGGGGAGAAUGUGCUGGGUCAGCAGGCCAGCGGGGCUGGAUCAGGCCCUGGAGCCUCACACCUUCCCCCCACCCCCAGUCUCCUCCUGACGCUUGGGAGAAAUGCAGGCCUGAGAGGGGCUUGCCAGGGAAGAUGGGGGCUAGGGGGGCGACCCAGGGGGAAGCACCGACUGCCUCAGGCUCCCUGGCCCUCUGGCUUUGGUGAAUUGAGAGUAAGUUCUCACCAAGAAUCUAACUCUAGGCCUCACACCAUCCUGGGCCCUGGGGGUCCCUUAUCAGUGUGAGCUGCUCCCUCUGAGGUCUCCAGACCCAGGCGAGUCCCAGCAGGCACCUCCCGCCAGACAGGCAGCUUUGCCUGGAACAGACUCGCUCAGACCCACUUGCCGCUCCGCCUCCUGGCCCCACGCGACCCCACACUCACUCUGCAGAAGCAGGAGUUUGCAGAGCAGGGCUCGGGACCCCAGCUCCAUGGCGCCCGCCUCCGGCCUCGCUUUGUCCUCCUCUGGCUCCAACUCUCCAGAAAAACAGCCCGGCCGCCUCCCCCUCCUCGGCACCCGCCGUGACAUCACGGAGCCCUGGGCCGGUCCGCAGUCUGCAGACCGCCCCCUCUGCCUCCUGCCCGGCCCCUUGGCCUCCCCCAAUCCUUGGCUGGCCUGGUGGGGAGGAGGAGGGCCAGGGCCGCAGCCACUCUGUCCCAGAGGGUGAGGGGAGUCCAGCAGGGACCCAGCCCCCUGGGUCAGGGAGGCGUGCGGGCAUGGCCCCAGAUACCUUGCGGGCAUCCGUGACACACAGGGCCCUUGGGCUGCUCAGGCCUGAGGCUCUGGGGUGAGCACCCCCUCUUGCCCACCUCUGCAGGGGACACUGGUCACAGCACUGGGCAGGGCCUGUCCCUGCCUGCUGUGGAGCUGGAGGUACCCUCUAUGGUGGCCAGCAGAAAGGCACGGGGGUUGGGGCCCCAGGGAGCCCAGCCUGCCAGCCAGCUCCUCCUUAGCCGUGGGAAGACCCUGGCACUCUCCUCUCUGGUGCUGCGCCUCUUCCUCUGUGAAUGCGAAUAAGCAGCACUAGCCCUGGGGGACCCGGGACGGCUCUGGGGAGGGCAUGGUGGGCACUGUCAGCAGUCACAUUUACCCAGAGUCAGCCGGCGAGACAGGGGCGGGGGAUCCCUGAGGGUUAAGGGGGCCAGCCCAGCAGCUCCCUGUCCUCCAGCCUGGUGCCCCCCCCCCCCCAGCUGUCCACCAUCAAGGGCAAAGCCAGGCAUUCCUGAAAUCAAACCAGGGGUUCAGAGGCUCCCAGGAGCAUCCCCAACCUGCCCAGCGGGGAGGGGAAGGAGGUAGGGUAUGGGACCCGCCCCUGCCCCACUAAGGAAGGCACAAAUUUGAAACUCUGGGAAUCUAACAGAGUCACAUAAACAAAUGCAAAAUCAUAGAGAUGCAUUGUGUACCAAUCCCACUCCUUCUAGUUAAGCAAACCUCAAAAAAAAAACCACCACCACAAAAACCCACAGUGCAUUUUUCAGACUGCCCAUGUGGACUGAAUUAGGGAGGGUCACAGGCCCCAGUCUCUGGCAGGCUGGGGUCUCCCCCGUGUACCCUGCCACAGUCCCCAAGUGCUUACACAGCAAGGACCCCAGCUCAGCCUGACUUAGGCUCUGGGUGAGGGGAAGAGGUGGCUGCAGCAAGAGGGAAUGAGGGGUGACAACAGGAAGGACUGGCUGGGCAGACACAGGCCCCCUCCCAGUUUAGGACUCAUUCCCUCAGCAGGAUCCCUGCCCUGGAGGGUGGAACCCCUUUUGAAAACUGGAACCAGAUUUGUGUCCCCCCUUCCCCUGCCCCCAGCUCCUCCCCGGGCCUUUCAUUCUGGAAAAACAAGCCCCGCCUGGCUGGCCUGAGGCCUGGCCUCCUCCUGUUUUUCUAGCUGGUUUAUAUUAGCACUGGUGGCCUCCUUCCCAGCCUCCUCCCUCCUCUGUACCCCCGCCCACCCGUGUCUCUCCCUCCAUCUGUCUGCUGUUCCUGCCCCUGUCUGCCAACUGCCUCUUCUCCAUGAAGGGAAGAUGUCCAAACAGAGCUGGGGGAGGCCCAGAUGGCCCAGGGCUGGCCCCUGUCUAGGAGGGGUCGGGUCGGCUCCCUGCCCGGGCCAGGAACCUGGGGCACCCUCUCUCUUCCAGCAAACCCCCCAGCCUCAGGUCCCAAGCACUGCAGGCUGAGUUCUCAGCUCCGCCCAAAUGCAGAUGUCUCCAGGGGAGCCCCUAGGGGAAAGCUGACCCCCUUGUGCCCCUGGACAAAGUCGGACACGGCAGUGGAGGGCUGCGGAUCCCUCUUCCCUGCUCUAUCAUGUUCUCUCUGCUGGAGGCCAGCAGAGCCAAAAUGGGCGGCAGGGAGCCACUGCCACGACCCCACCUGAGUCCCUGGCCGGAAAUGGCCACAGCUAAGAGCAGAGGCCCAGCAGUCUGCCUGGGCUGCCCACCAGCCACCUUCCCCUCCACAGCCCAGGCUGAGCCCUUCUGCUCCUUCCCAGGUGCCUGUGGCUCAGCUCCCAGCCUGGCACCUCCACUGGGAAAAGAACAGGCCAGGAGAAAACAAGGCCACCGACAUGGCCAGAGUCCCACCCUGUGCCCCAGCUGAGCCCCUAGCUGACCAGAGCCCUGAACCAACCCCAGUCCUCGGAGGCAUGGCUGAACCAGCAGACCAGCCAACCAGCCCAACGCUGGCUCCUCUGUCAGGGACUCGGGACAUUCCAGGCGCCAGACUCACUGGAAAGGAAAACCACAGGCACUCAGAGACAGCCAGACACACAGACACGAGCUCACACCCACGGUCACGUCAUUCGGCAAACAUCUGCCGAGCACCUACUGUGUGCUGGCCACUGGGUGCAGCACCCAUCUGGAAGCCACACUCCCAACCCUUGUUGCUGUCAGAGGGAGGCAGGAGACACACCUGCUCAGUGACGAAUGAGAAUUUCAAGUGCUGAGGGAAGUGGUGUCAGAAGAUUAAGGCAGGGCGGGGCGCCUCUGCAGUAUUACCACGGGCCCUGGAGGGGUCCGCACGCACAAGUGGACGGCCAGGCCUCCCAGGUCUGCGGGGCUGUGCUGUGGCCUCAACCCCUGUGAGACGCAGGCCUGGGGGCUGCAGGGGUGGCAAGUCUGGUGAAGCAGGAAAUGCCCAGAUGGCUAGUUCAGGGCUUCCGGGAUUUGCAUGGGCAUUCCAGGGUCAGGCUGUGGGCGGAGCUCUGAGAUGCUCCCCUGGGUCCACCCUGUGUCUCCCCCUGGACUGUGGGCCACAUAGUGACUGUGUGGAAGGAUGGUCCUUUGUACCCACCUGGCAGAGGUGCUGGGAUGUCCCCCCUGGUGCAUAGCCUCCUGGAUUCUGCCAGCUGCCUGGGUGAGUGUGGACGAGGGCCCAGGCCUCGGGUGAGGACGUGGCCCGGAUGACACCGAUUUCACUAGGGAGGCCCCCGGCCGGGGACUGGGCAGACCCAUAUCCAGACCCCCGACCCACAGAUGCUGUGUGGCGAUGAACAGGCCCCGCCAUGACCAUCACACAGCGGUGGGAGCCAAUGGCCACUGUCCCCCAGAAACAAGCAAGGGCAGGACUUAAAGGCAAAGAGAACACAUUCCACAAGGAAAAGGGUUCCUCACUUUGGGAUUGGCUGCUGGCAGCAGGGCAUAUGUGGGCAAAUUGCUGGGCCACAGGGCUCACUGAGGUUUCCUCGGACCCCUCGCCAUCGAGGUGAGGCCACAGAGCAGAGCUGGGUCACAGACACAGGCACAUGCUUUGUCCCCCUCAGCCUGUGUUCCCACUGGUUCUGACCAGUUUUCCUGGAAGCGGCCACUCGCAUCUGUUUGUCUUGGUGCUCCCCCUGGAGUCCUGACGACUUGUCUCGGGCUGCGAGGCAGGAAACUGUGCAGGUCCCACGUCUGGAGACCUGGGUGUGCCCUGCAGGAGGGCUCUCGCCGCCUUCUGGAGGGGAGCCAGGUCGGGUGACCUGUGUCAGUGCACUGGGGCGCCGUGGCCUGAGAACACAGACAAGAGCAUUUGGAACUUUCAUGGGCCAGCCAAGCCGUCCAUCCUGAGGAAAUGUGAAGGAGGAACAAAGCCCGGAGUCUCUGCCAUCAGGGUCAGCGGUCUCCGCCAGGGAUCAGUAGCGGGUACCCUCCUCUGCCUGGAGGGGCAGGGGGUAACACAGAAACCUACUCACUGCUCCUGGAUGAGAACAGUCCUAGGAUCCAGGGUUUGCCUGUGUUAAUCUCUCCUUAUCAAGCCGUCAACUCUGAGGUCAGGAGUCAAAAAAUGCCGGGAGCUGACCAGGAGGCCGGUGGACAGCCGCGCACAGCGGGCCUCCAGAGGGGGGGCUACUGAUAUCUCUUCUGUCGCUUAAUCUGACCAUCCCCCCAGUCCGAGUAGCCCUCCUGAAUCAGAAAAAGCCCCCAGAGUAAAGACUGUUAGGAAUCUGAAAGCAGUCGUGACACUCAGCCUGUGACCCUGCACAUUCCCCGCAGGCCAGCGGGGUUAUCAUCCCUGGGCUGAGAAAUAGAAGAAGGUUCAGGGGACUUCAGGGCACAGCUCCCAGGCAACUCGACCCCCAAGAGAAACAAGAACAGAUGAGAGCCUUGUUUGGAGAGGCCAAAGACCGUGGCAGGGUCCCCUUGUGAAUCAUUCCUAUAGAAAUCACAGCGCAUGGGUACAGUGGAGAUCAACAGGCGCGCUUCUCCUUCUGUGAACGGUUCCGGGAACUACGGAAAACACGCCCUGCGGUGAGCCUGGGUGGGAGUCCGGCUGGGCAAGUGUUAAGACACUUCCAGAAGACGUGGUGGUGCCUUGUAGAAAUUUAACCUGAGAUCAGAGCAACAGAGAAAUCUUGAGGAGAGGACCGUGAUGGCCUUCCAUGGCUGGGAAAGCAGGGGAACAUUCUGGGAGGCAGAUUGUGCCACGAAUCACCUACUGACACAUGCUUAAUGAUGAUUUCAUGUGACCAUAUAUAUUGCUUGAAGUUUCUGUCAAUAAACAGGCCAGACCAGCUCAGCAUC